GAUGAACGCUGGCGGCGUGCUUAACACAUGCAAGUCGAACGGGAUCCAAGGGGUGCUUGCACUUUUUGGUGAGAGUGGCGAACGGGUGAGUAACACGUGAGUAACCUGUCCUUUUCUUUGGGAUAAGCAUUCGAAAGGGUGUUUAAUACCUUAUGUUCUGUCUGCCUCGCAUGGGGUGGGUGGGAAAGGCUUUGGCCGGAUUUGGGUGGGCUCGCGGUCUAUCAGCUUGUUGGUGGGGUGAUGGCUUACCAAGGCUUUGACGGGUAGCUGGCCUGAGAGGGUGGUCGGUCACAUUGGGACUGAGAUACGGCCCAGACUCCUGCGGGAGGCAGCAGUGGGGGAUAUUGCACAAUGGGCGAAAGCCUGAUGCAGCGACGCCGCGUGGGGGAUGAAGGCCUGCGGGUUGUAAACUUCUUUUGCUCUGAACAAGGCAUGCCAGUGGGUGUGUUGAGUGUAGGGGUUGAUUAGCGCCGGCUAACUACGUG
rnacentral:rRNA from 1 species